rnacentral:rRNA from 1 species
UACGGGGGGGGUAAGCGUUGUUCGGAAUUACUGGGCGUAAAGGGCGCGUAGGCGGCUUGCCAAGUCAGGGGUGAAAUCUUUCGGCUCAACCGGAAAAGUGCUUCUGAUACUGGCAGGCUGGAGGGAGGUAGGGGCAGAUGGAACUUCCGGUGGAGCGGUGAAAUGCGUAGAUAUCGGAAGGAACGCCGGUGGCGAAAGCGAUCUGCUGGAUCUCUUCUGACGCUGAUGCGCGAAAGCCAGGGGAGCAAACGGG